rnacentral:RNase_P_RNA from 1 species
GAAGCUGACCAGACAGUCGCCGCUUCGUCGUCGUCCUCUUUGGGGGAGACGGGCGGAGGGGAGGAAAGUCCGGGCUCCAUAGGGCAAGGUGCCAGGUAACGCCUGGGGGGUGUCACAGCCCACGACCAGUGCAACAGAGAGCAAACCGCCGAUGGCCCGCGCAAGCGGGAUCAGGUAAGGGUGAAAGGGUGCGGUAAGAGCGCACCGCGCGGCUGGUAACAGUCCGCGGCACGGUAAACUCCACCCGGAGCAAGGCCAAAUAGGGGUUCAUAAGGUACGGCCCGUACUGAACCCGGGUAGGCUGCUUGAGCCAGUGAGCGAUUGCUGGCCUAGAUGAAUGACUGUCCACGACAGAACCCGGCUUAUCGGUCAGUUUCACCU